rnacentral:rRNA from 1 species
UACGUAGGGUGCGAGCGUUAAUCGGAAUUACUGGGCGUAAAGCGUGCGCAGGCGGUUGUGCAAGACAGAUGUGAAAUCCCCGGGCUUAACUUGGGAACUGCAUUUGUGACUGCACGGCUAGAGUGUGUCAGAGGGGGGUAGAAUUCCACGUGUAGCAGUGAAAUGCGUAGAUAUGUGGAGGAAUACCGAUGGCGAAGGCAGCCCCCUGGGAUGACACUGACGCUCAUGCACGAAAGCGUGGGGAGCAAACAGG